GAAUUCUCCCCUCACAACGGCAACUGCAGAAGACUUCUCCUGUUUUCUUCAAGUCUGGCUCUACGCAAGCAAAGGUCAAGCUGCAGACAUAGCUGGGUUAAGGAAAACACUUGCCGGUGGAGAUCGUUUUGCUUGUAAAGCAACACAAGGUCCUUCUGAGCUCUGCCCUGAGGAGCUGACUGAAGUGAGACCAUCUGUGUCAAGACAGAAGACGUUCGGUGGUGUUCCCAAGUGCACGUUUUUGGCGGUGGGAAGCUUUCCCUGGAUGGCUCUCUGGGAAUGUUCAGUGGUCACAUCUGAACCCAUUUUGUGAACCCUACUGGAAUCUGCACCUGCCUCUCAGAGGCAGACGGAGAGAGAGGCUAUGGAUGUGUACCCAUGUGCUGGUGCUCCCGUGGAACUGAAAGGGAACAGCCACGUUUUCACGGCACCUCGGUGGCAAAACAUCAUGCUGCUUGUUGGCAGGGAGCACUUGGUUGUUUUUGCUGAGGAGAAAGGGCAAAUACUGCAGCGCUGGCGACUGAGGAAGGUUUCUGGCGCUGCUGUCUCUCAAGCACUGGAGCCGAAGCGGAGCAAAGAGGGCAGCAGCGAGUCACGGCUGUGCCGGGUCAGGCAGGCUGGACCCGGCUGCGCAGAGUUUUGGGAGCAAUCUCCUGACCUGCUUUGUACCUUUGGACUUACACCUUCUUCACGUACGUGCACCUUUGAGUGCCCUCUGUGCCAGCCCCAAACAGCACAGUAGGUAUUUACACACACAAACACAGAAGUGUUGCCUAUGCCACACUUCCUCCUGAAGUCAUCCUUUCGUGGCUGACAGUCACAAGGAGGCAGAACAUCUACUGGCUUUGUACUAAUUCUAGCAUCUGGGCUUUAAUGCUUUUUUCCUAGCAGGAAUCUCUUAAAGCCUUUCUGGGCUUUCUCUAGGUCAUGAACACUUCCAAAUGUAAUGAAUGAUGUAGCUCAGAGGGGCAAAUAUUGCUUUGCAGAUAGAGAAGGCAGUUGUGCUAAUGCAAGGCAUUUCUUUACUGACAAGAAUUAGUUAUUUGUAAGUGAAGUGUUGGGUCUUAUCAUCUGUCUCUCUUUUUCUUGUGGCGUGAACCUUUUGCUAGGAAACUUUGAGGCAGCCUGAUGCUUCCCAACAAGUAACAGGGACCCUCAAUAGAGUGGCCCAUCUUCAGAGCGAUUCACGACACAUUUUGUUCCUUCUCCUGCUUGUUCCUCCUCAAGUCUCCUGAUCAAGCUCAAGUUUUAUCUGGGGAGGCACCAACAGCAUCUCUUUCACACCCCAACUAAAUAGUUGUUCAUAUGGGAGCUUUAAAAGCCUCUGAAAUUAUCAGUGGGGAAAAAAAUGCUUGGAAAGGAGAGAUUUAGUACUUAGUUCUAUCAGCACAUACUUUUUUCUUGGCUGGGAUUUGUUCUCACAGAACUUCAAGCUGGAUUAUUUGUGUUAGACUUCCUGACUGAAUUCCAAACAAGUCAUCUUUCCCCACAACACUGACCUUUAGGAUAAGCCCAGAAUAAGUCCAAUUUGUUUCAAGUUUCCCUUGUAAGCAAGAGCACAAGAGACCAUGUCUCUCAAAGACCUGGCUAGCUAGCUGCAUGGGGAAGAAGCCCUGCAAAGCUGAAUAUUCCAAACUGACAUCCAAACAGCAUGCUUCCUGAGCAGGGUUAGCACUGCUGGCUCCCAGACAACCAGGCUAACAGCUAUGGAAAAGCAAAGACUCCCCAGAAAGGUGUCAACCUGGUUUUAAUCAGGGUUAUGCCCUAAUGGAGGCAUCAGUGGCAUAUUCCAGACUCCUGUUGCCUGUUUCUGGCCGUGGUGGCGGCAGAGCUACUCACCUGGGCUGUAGUUUGCUGAAUACCUCAGGCCACCACCUUGCACUGGUGCUGCCCCCAGCCUCCUGCCGGCACAAGCAUCUGUUCACCUGUGGUGAACAGGAAUCAGGUAGCUGAUUUGGUUGAGCACAAACCUUUGUUUCUUUCUCUGGUGGGUUGUAACCCAGUUUGGUUUCCUGAUCUGCUCCCCUGCACAAGAGAAGGUAGUGUGAACACAGGAGCAAGUGACUUAGCUACAGA